GUUCGAUCUCUCCUAUGAGCAAUUGCUCGCCGGAGUUCGACAAUAGCAUCAAAGUCCGACGAGGAUUCUGUCGCGACCGAGAAGGAGCAUCAGAACCGCGAGGACCGAGGCUCACCGCCGCCGUGCCAAACUUCGGCCACUUCUGUCCAGUGAAGUAGAAAGCUCCUGAGAUCCUUACGGAGUCCAUAGAAUUCUCCUUCACCAUAUCUCCACCGUUCGCUACUCCAUCGACUCCGGUUCAUCGAAUACACUCCGCUCCGCCCAACUCCGGCGAACCCUCACGAUCAUCCGGAGUGUGAAGCUUGCUACCAUGAAUCUUUAUAGUUUAACAAAUGUCAGCAAGGCAAGUUCACACUUUGAUCAUAAUUUUUAAUACCCAGUUUUUACUAUGCAUUAGUUUAACCCUCAAAGAUUGCAUGAGUAGGAUUGGGAACAUGUGGUUAUGCUAUGUAGUUCAUGUGGUAGGAACGUAUGACCUUUGAUCACCCCGGGAAUUUUCGUUAUGUCAUAUA